GGGGGAUAAGCUUCAUUGUCGAGAGGGAAACAGCCCAGAUUAUCAGUUAAGGCCCCUAAAUAUUUACUAAGUGGUAAAGGAUGUAAUAAUACCUAGACAACCAGGAGGUUGGCUUAGAAGCAGCCAUUCCUUUAAAAAGUGCGUAAUAGCUUACUGGUCAAGUGUUGUUGCGCCGAAAAUGAAUGGGACUAAGUAAAUUGCCGAAGCUAUAAGAUAUUAAAAAUCGGUAGGAGAGCGUCCUGAAAGGUGAGAAGUUUUUGUGAAAACAUUAAAAUGGACUUUUCAGGAGUGAGAAUGUCGGCUUAAGUAACGAAAACAAUGGUGGAAAUCCAUUGCCCCGAAAACCUAAGGUUUCCUUUGCCAGGUUCGUCCACAAAGGGUUAGUCAGAUUCUAAAGUGAAGUUGAAUAGCUUAGUUGAUGAUAAACAGGUUAAUAUUCCUGUACCUUAUAUUAAUUUCUUGCUACGAGUGACGAAGGUGGGAGGAGUCAUCCAAAGAUUGGUUGUUUUGGUUUAAUUUAUCGAGGUUUUGAGGAUUAUUACAAAAAAUAGUUUGAGCUGAGAUGAAGAAUACGAUAUACAUUACGGUGUUAAAAGUGAUUUCCUUCGUACUUCCUAGAAAAACUCUUAUAGUUAAUUUAAUAUAAGUCUGUACCGUAAACUGACACAGGUGGGUGGGUAGAGAAUACUAAGGGGCGCGAGAUAACCCCUUUCUAAGGAACUCGGCAAAAUGACUUUGUAACUUCGGAAGAAAAAGUGCCUCUUUAACAAAGAGGUCGCAGUAAGCAGGUCCAUGCGACAGUUUAUCAAAAACUCAAGUCUCUGCUAAGUCGAAAGACGAUGUAUAGGGGCUGACGCCUGCCCAGUGCCGGAAGGUUAAAGAAAUUGGUUAGCUUUGCGAAGCUGGUGACUGAAGCCCCGGUGAACGGCGGCAAUAACUAUAAUUGUCCUAAGGUAGCGAAAUUCCUUGUCAGGUAAGUUCUGACCCGCACGAAAGGCGUAACGAUAUGGAUACUGUCUCAGAAAGGGACUCGGUGAAAUAGAAUUGACUGUGAAGAUGCGGUCUACCUGCACUUGGACAGAAAGACCCUAUGAAGCUUUACUGUAGCCUGUUAUUGAUUUAGAAUUUCUUUUGCGCAGAAUAGGUGGGAGGCUUUGAAGCUCUUUUUCGGAAGUUGUGGAGCCAAAAUUUGAGAUACCACUCUUAAGAAAUUUGGAAUCUAAUGACAUUCUUAAAUUAUGUUUGAAAAUUUCAGGUGGGCAGUUUUACUGGGGCGGUAGCCUCCUAAAAGGUAACGGAGGCGUGCAAAGGUUUUCUCAAUUUGGGUGGAAAUCAAAUGUAGAGUGUAAAGAUAUAAGAAAGCUUGACUGUGAGACUUACUAGUCAAACAGAGACGAAAGUCGGUCUUAAUGAUCCGACAGUUGCUAGUGGAAGCGCUGUCGCUAAACGGAUAAAAGUUACUCUAGGGAUAACAGGCUGAUCUCCCCCAAGAGUUCACAUCGACGGGGAGGUUUGGCACCUCGAUGUCGGCUCAUCGCAGCCUGGAGCAGUAGUAUGUUCCAAGGGUUGGGCUGUUCGCCCAUUAAAGCGGUACGUGAGCUGGGUUCAGAACGUCGAGAGACAGUUCGGUCCAUAUCCGGUGUAGGCGUUAGAGCAUUGCAAAUAGCUUUCCUUAGUACGAGAGGACCGGGAAAGUCACACCUCUAGUGUGCCAGUUUUUGUGCCAACAGAAGACGCUGGGUAGUUAUGUGUGGAGUGGAUAACUGCUGAAAGCAUA
rnacentral:rRNA from 1 species